CGCGUCUUCGGCGAACGUGACGCACCCGCAGGCAGACGAGAGACCCUCCGGCGGGACAGAGUGAGACAUGGGCCAGCAGGAGGUGACGGUGAGCGCCACGUCGCUGGCCGUGGGUGUGGGGGCGACGCUGGCGCUGGGCUUCGUGUGCGGCUACCAGUUCAAGGCGUGGCGGAUCGAGUGGCUGAAGCGGCGGCGGGAGCGGCUGCAGAGGAAGAUCCAGCAGACGCAGGCGGAGAUCGACCUGCUGCAGAAGGGGCACUGAGGGCGCCUUCCUCGUACUGCCUGCUGCCGUCCAUCAUAUGAAUAGCUUUGUUAAUUCUGUAUCGCAAAAUAGGAAGUAAUUGACGUAGAACUUAAUUUAACAAAAUUGAACAAUAGUGCCAUAUUUCUAACCCAACUCAGGGCUUUGGUGAAGAGUAUUUUAUAGGUGGAAACAUAUUCAUUAAAAUAGAAUUUUGAGAAUACAUAAUUAAAUCUUGCACAAAAAAAAAUAUGAUCGUUGGUGGUCAGUGUGAAGAGGACCUGCAAUCCAGCUACCCGAGAGGUUGUGCAAUAUUAUGGCAGCUGGAGCAUUGGCCUCUCAAUUCUGGAACUGCGACAGAACGGCACAAGACGUAUUCUGGGGUGUCACAUAUAUGUCAUGUAAUGCCUGGGAACAUCUGCAUAACACGGAGCAUCUAACCAUGAAGAAUCAAGAAUUAUUAACCACUGGUGCUAUUAAGGUGUCUUUGAAGUGUUGUUCUAAGCUUUAUAUAUUCAAAACAGGGCUCAGUCUAUACAAAAGAACAGGACGGAGGAGCUAACCCAAGGGAUGAAUUGACAAAUAAUUAUAGUUCCAAAUUAGUUGACAAUAUUUAUGUACAUGAAGAAUAAAACUUUGUAUGGCAUUUUAUAUUUCUUUGUAUAUAUGCAAUUCUAUGUGGUCAAGUAUAGUUUUGAGUAAAUUCA